rnacentral:sRNA from 1 species
UAGGGUUUCAGAAUUGGGAUUUGGAAGGCUUUCUUAUGCCUCCUCUGCCUGCGCCGUGAAGUGUAUUGCUGCCAAUUGCCAUGGAGAUCUUUGUGCGGGAGAGAAAAAUUUCUCCUUGGUUGCGUUUUGAUUUUUGCAGGUGCUUCACGAUUCUAAUUAUCUCUCGCGAUGAUGGUGGAAAACGAAGGGAAUCAUGCUCCUGAGUUUCCCCUCCUGAGUUUCCCCUCCUGAGUCUCGAUCAUGCUUGCGCGACUAGGAUUCGCUGAUUUGGGGAUUUUUUCUGUGUUUUAGGGUUCCUCUGCCGUUUCUGGUUUUUCUGCGUUUUAGGUUGCAAGACAGUGGAGAUCGAAUCACGAUUGGUGGCAGCCUAGCGAGUAGCUCACAAAGAGGCGCUGGUGUGUUUGGGUGGUCUCUGCAGCGGCAUUGACGAGGUGGUCAAGUGAAGAUGCUUCACAGUGGCGGUUCUAAUUUUGUCUCGCAGUGGUGAAAAUGUUGGGCAAACUUGCGAAUUGGUUCCUGCAAUUUGCAGUUCUGUCUACGGUGGCUGCCAUGGAAGCGUGAUUUGG